rnacentral:misc_RNA from 1 species
AACGGUCUAUACCUGCGGUACCUGCGGAAGGAUCAUUAUAGAGUGGUAAACCCCCCGUAAAAGGGGGGGACCUCCUGUCCUUUGUAGGCUCUUUUUUAAAAGGGCUUUUUUUAAUUUUCUGCUUCGGUGGGGUUAUCCCACCGGAACAACCUCAAAACUCUUAUCAAAAAAUCGUUCUGUCUGAGAACCUUUUAUAAUAAAAAAAAACUUUCAACAAUGGAUCUCUAGAUCGGAAGAGCA